rnacentral:rRNA from 1 species
GACGAACGCUGGCGGCGUGCUUAACACAUGCAAGUCGAACGAUGAAGCCGGAGCUUGCUCUGGUGAAUUAGUGGCGAACGGGUGAGUAACACGUGAGUAACCUGCCCUUGACUCUGGGAUAACUGCUAGAAAUGGUAGCUAAUACCGGAUACGACCCUCGGAGGCAUCUUCAGGGGGUGGAAAGAAUUUCGGUCAAGGAUGGACUCGCGGCCUAUCAGCUAGUUGGUGAGGUAAUGGCUCACCAAGGCGACGACGGGUAGCCGGCCUGAGAGGGGGCGCGGCCACACUGGGACUGAGACACGGCCCAGACUCCUACGGGAGGCAGCAGGGGGGAAUAUUGCACAAGGGGGGCAAGCCUGAUGCAGCAACGCCGCGUGAGGGAUGACGGCCUUCGGGUUGUAAACCUCUUUUAGUAGGGAAGAAGCGAAAGUGACGGUACCUGCAGAAAAAGCACCGGCUAACUACGUGCCAGCCGCCGCCGUAA